GCUGCCUGGAAUCCGCACUUGACUCUACAGCAGUAGAGGAGUGCGAAAGACAAUGGUGGGGUGCAGUUACGAGGGGACUUCAAAAAGGGACAGGAGUCAAUAGGAGAUCGCCAGCUGAAGGUGGGAGGGGCCAAUCUGUGGGUCGGCAAGAUGAAUCAGCUUUUUAUUACAAGCUUCACCCAAUGGUUUUUUUAUCUUUCGGAGCUACUCUCUACACACGAAAUUAUGGUUACAUUCGUGGAAGUUAUAUGCCGCUGCGCUCCUCUUCGCCCAUCCUCUAGCCUUACCUGGAUGGCCUUCGGCUGUUUACGGUCCUAUGUUCACUCCAGGGCAAGAAUUGCGUGCGCUAUAACUUCUUCCAUUUUAAUGUUGUUAGUGUACAUUAAUGAUUAGUGUUGCCUGUGGAACGUACUUUGUACUAUUGCUAUGUACUUAUUUAACUCAAUGGUUUUUAACCUACAGGGCUACUUCACGUGCGUGGAAGUAUGAUCAUGAUCCUCCAGUUC